AGUCUUAUAGCUCAGUGGUUAGAGCGUACGCUUGAUAAGCGUAAUGUCAGUAGUUCAACUCUACUUAGGACUA
rnacentral:tRNA from 1 species